rnacentral:tRNA from 1 species
GCUUUUAAAGGAAAACAGCUCAUCCG